GCCUGGCUGGCUCAGUCAGUUAAGCAACUGACUUCAGCUCAGGUCACGAUCUCACGGUCCGUGAGUUCGAGCCCCACGUCGGGCU
rnacentral:tRNA from 1 species